UUGAACGCUGGCGGCAGGCCUAACACAUGCAAGUCGAGCGGCAGCGCGGGGCAACCUGGCGGCGAGCGGCGGACAGGUGAGUAACGCGUAGGAAUCUACCCAGUAGCGGGGGAUAGCCCGGGGAAACUCGGAUUAAUACCGCAUACGCCCUAAGGGGGAAAGCAGGGGAUCGUAAGACCUUGCACUAUUGGAAGAGCCUGCGUUGGAUUAGCUAGUUGGUAGGGUAAAGGCCUACCAAGGCGACGACCCAUAACUGGUCUGAGAGGAUGAUCAGUCACACGGGAACUGAGACACGGUCCGGACUCCUACGGGAGGCAGCAGUGGGGAAUAUUGGACAAUGGGGGCAACCCUGAUCCAGCCAUGCCGCGUGUGUGAAGAAGGCCUUCGGGUUGUAAAGCACUUUAAGUGGGGAGAAAGGUUCGGCAGCUAAUACCUGCCGGAAGUGAUGUUACCCACAGAAUAAGCACCGGCUAACUCUGUGCCAGCCGCCGCGGUAA
rnacentral:rRNA from 1 species